CCAAUGUGAACCAUACCAAACUGUUGCCUCGGCGGGGUCACGCCCCGGGUGCGUCGCAGCCCCGGAACCAGGCGCCCGCCGGAGGGACCAACCAAACUCUUUACUGUAGUCCCCUCGCGGACGUUAUUUCUUACAGCUCUGAGCAAAAAUUCAAAUGAAUCAAAACUUUCAACAACGGAUCUCUUGGUUCUGGCAUCGAUGAAGAACGCAGCGAAAUGCGAUAAGUAAUGUGAAUUGCAGAAUUCAGUGAAUCAUCGAAUCUUUGAACGCACAUUGCGCCCGCCAGUAUUCUGGCGGGCAUGCCUGUCCGAGCGUCAUUUCAACCCUCGAACCCCUCCGGGGGGUCGGCGUUGGGGAUCGGGAACCCCUCAGACGGGAUCCCGGCCCCGAAAUACAGUGGCGGUCUCGCCGCAGCCUCUCCUGCGCAGUAGUUUGCACAACUCGCACCGGGAGCGCGGCGCGUCCACGUCCGUAAAACACCCAACUUCUGAAAUGUUGACCUCGGAUCAGGUAGGAAUACCCGCUGAACUUAAGCAUAUCAAUAAGCGGAGGAA
rnacentral:rRNA from 1 species